GUCGUUGCUCCAGAGUUCAAAGGACUGAAUACGGUAAAACAGCAUCGAAUUAUUAACGAGGUUCUCAAGGAAGAAAUCAAAGAUAUGCAUGGUCUGCGAAUACGUACGAGUAUCCCACAGGUGUAAAUUUUAGCUCUUGGACACGUGUUAAAUUAAUUUUGCGGGAGAAAUAUCUAAUACCGGUUUUACUUAAGUUAGUAAUGGGCAUCUAAAUUUUUCUUUCAAAAAUUUUCGACGAGUUUAUUUAAGAUUUUUAAGAAUUCAUUUCGAACGAUAUUUGAAACGAUUGUAGAUUUUCACAUAUUUGAAACACGUUGUUGUAUAACGAGUCCAUUAUUAGCUUGGGACUAUAUUCACAAUUAAGAUCUGAAGAUUUUAUGUAAGAUACAAAGAACGUAUAUUUUAUAGAAUGUAAAGCUUUUAAAUAAAGUUAAAAGAAAUUUAUAUUCAUAUCCAAGGAAA